rnacentral:lncRNA from 1 species
GGAGCCCGAUGUGGGACUCGAUCCCAGGUCUCCAAGAUCACACCCCGGGCCAAAGGCGGCGCUAAACCACUGAGCCACCAGGGCUGCCCUACUGUUUACCUUCUUAACUUUUGUUAAAUCAAAUAACCAUGCUAUUUGCUAACAGCUUAAAUGCACAAGCAGAGAAAGUAAAGUGUUUAUAAAUUGGGUUCCAUUCGUUAAUUUUCUUUCUUGAUACCACUGACUGCAGAUCUGUCAAAGUUAACUGAACUUUGAUGAAAAUCAUGAGAACCAUAUUAAAAAGAACAACAAAAGCAAGGUAAGACUGCGAUUUCAUACUCUCUUACUACACAGCAUUGGGGAGCAGGAAUCACACGCAUUUUAUUGCUAUUUCUAGAAAAGCUGCCAGCCACGCACAUAGUAGGCUGAUGUAAAAUGCUAAAUACCCAGGAGAAGAUCUAGCACAACAUUUUAUAUUGUAAAAACUCAAAGAAGAUGUUAGAUGAAAAGCUUGGGAAGUAAAACUUGGACUAAAUUGUUGAGAAAUCUGAAACACUCAAAGUGCCUCCUUUUGAUUGGAGGGUAUGAAGAGCACACAAAUGCACAGAAACUGUUCAUUUACAACUUUCUGAUCAGAUUAGCACUGAAUUCUGCUUAGAGCAAAAAUAUGGCCCAAAGGGAAAUAAGUACAAGGUAGAAUUUUAAAGUAUACCAACUAAGUUCACUUAAAGCAAACCAACACAUACUGUUGCUCUCAUUUGCCAAGGAGCACCCAGAAUUACUUUCUAUUUCUUGAAUCACUCUUAGUAUGGCAGCUGUUAGAACAACUAGUUCUUUGCCUCAAGUGUACUCAGAAAGGACAACCGUAUUUGUUCAUUUUUAAGGGUUCAGGGUGAAAUGUGGCACAACUAAUAAUUCUCAAAGUAAGAUAUGUAAGUAGAUAGACGUCUAGUUUUGCAGCACGUAUUUUAAUUGUUAGCACUUAACACAUCUUACACCAAUCAUUUUCAACCCAGAAUGGCAUAAAGGAAGGCUUCACCACAAUUUGCACUUGAAAUAUUAUUUUUGGGUCCAGGUGACAAGGAACUCAGGAAUGACUAGUAAGUUCAUUUGACAUGCCCAGGCCCAUUCCAGCUCUUGCUUCUGAGCUCCCAGCAACUACAGCAACAGGCAGAAGGCCAAACUGUUGGCUCUGGUAGGCAGUUCAGUCGAGAUGUGUCUGGAGGCAGGCUGCCAUUAGGAGGGAGGGGGAGAUACUGGUGACCAGGAUACAUCUGGGUGUGUGGCCACAGCCCUCUCCCACCUGGCCAUCCUCACCUACUGCCAGGAUCCCCUCUUCCUGGCCACGCUCUCUGACGCCCGCUUCCAUAGUCUUCCUCCUGCCCUGGAACCCCCCAGCCCUCCUCUGCCACCCUCUCCUCUCCCACCACACACACCUGAGGACAGGCUGCCUGACUCUCAUCCACCCUGCACCACACUUCACGCAGGUGACAACAGAGUUCAGAAUCUCUUGCAGGGACCUUGUCUCACAUGUGUCCAGUUCAGGAUGUGACUCUGCCUCAGUGUAAAAGAACAAAAGCUAAAACUAUCAAAAAGGCUUUGCUUCCUUCCCCAUCUCCCUGCUCCUGCUGCCAAAACAAACAAAACAAACCACAGCUGCUCGCUUAAGGGGCUCUCUAAGGAUUACAAUAAUGCAAAUCUAUAGUAAAAGUAAUCUGAUAAAAACCUAAAGAACUACAGACACUGCUGGAUGGACAAAACGCAUCUUCCAUGAGCUCUGAACACUCUGCCUUAAAAAUAUACUCACAUACAAUGAACUUUUUUUUACUCCCUUCCUUCAUGCUUUCACUUUAAAAUGAUGCUACCUGCCUCCAUCCUGAUUAAUUUUAAGCUUCUCACUCCUGUUUACAAAAGAAAACUGACUCAUUCAAAGUGGUAAAAGGGGGGAGGCUUUUUGAAAUAGGUUUUUUUUUCCCUCAGUCCUUAGCAUUUUUUGGUUCAUUUAGUAAGAAACAGGAGUUUUCCAUUAUUUUUUAACAAGAAUUAUUUUGCUUGUGCCAAAACGUGCUGGCUGUUUUCUUUCGUGCUUCAUGAUCUCUCAAGUUUUUGAUCUGUGGCAUAGUCACUAAGUCUAAAAAGAGAAAUAGAUCAGCAACCAUUUGUGUGUGUGUGGUGGGGGGGGGGGGCGGGGAGGACUCCCUUUCCUCUGCUAGACUUCAGGCCAGAUGGGAUGGAUGCCUUAUAUUUGUCAUCCUUGCCCAACAGGUACCAUCUUUCCUAGUUAGCAGAUGGGGAAACUGAGGCUUAGAAAGUUUAAGGGACUUGCCUGAAGCUGGUCAGUUGGAAGAAGCUUGUUGUCAACCUGAGGUCUGUCUGUAUUCUAAGCUUGUGCCCUUGCACUGCUCUGAACAGUCAUGGAAACAUCUGUCCCUGUGAGGAGUGAAGAGGGGCUGGAUCUGGACUUGAGCCAGAAAGGAAGGGAGGCAAAAGAACAGAGCAGACUCCCAAGUCACCACCCCCAACCAUAUGAUGCCAGGCCUCAGGCUGCUUUCAUAACAAAACCUCCUUCCUGCUGUGGUAGCAGAAUCUGUCGGGAGAAACUGCAGUUAGCAGUGUUGGUUGUGCCAGAGGAUAACACAGUGAGGGGGAAUAAGAGACAGGAAGAUGUUCUUAAAACUUUGUGAGAAGGCAUUCAAAAAAUACAAAAGAUAGGCCCAAUAAAUCCAAUUUGUGUCAGUGACAAUAAAAACUCGUUUUGGUAAGACUCUCUAAAGGGAUCUCAAAAUUUCACUUCACCCUCCUUAGUGGAAAAUGAUGAUACCAAUAUCUUGCUAAGGAAAUCAGACUGUCUUCUUAACAACAGAAAAAAAAUAAAUAAUCUAGCCACCACCUGAUGAGAUAAACACCAAACUCUGUCUUGAUGAAGCUUGAGCCCAUCUCUGGGCUUGCCCAUAAAAGGGCACGAAUCCUUCAGACCAAAGAGACUCACUCGAUAUGACAAAGACAUCGUUCUAUAACCUCCCUGCUCUCAAGGGAGCAGACCCCUAAGGGGACAUGUUUAAGCAAGUUUAUAUACACAGAAGGUCUAGAAUGCAGGAAGCACCAGCAGCAUCCUGGUUCAUUCAGUAAAUGUUUACUGAGCAUCUACUAUACGCCAGGCAAUGAGCAAAACGAACAGCAUAUAUGGAGCUCACCGGUAUGGCAAUAAGCUAGAGAAAUAAAGAAAGUACCCAGUCUGGUUAAGUAUAGUUGCUGAAAAUUAGAGGAGAGCAAAGAUGUUGCAAGAGGGAAAUUACCCGCUGACUUUAGUCAAAAGAGUGUGGUAAGGUGUCUACUGGGGAGAGAAAUGGAAUGGUGUUGGCGGCUUGUUUCAGGAGCUUUGAGAGGAGGUGACAGCUGGAGGAUGAGCAGGAUAGAGAGAGGGGUUUUUUCUUUAAGACACUAGCAAUGACAGCACGUGUGUACAUUGACAAUAUGAUCCAGUAGAUGCAGGACAGAGACAUCACACAAAAGUACUGAGAACAAGCGAAUAACCACGAGAACCCCAAACUUUAACACAGGUGGUGAGUGAUGGCUUCGAGGGGCCAGAAGGCCGUAUGGGACGUCUUGUAAGUGGCCUGGGACACUGGAGGAGACCGUUCUAAAUGGUAAGGGCUCUCAAAGAGCGCCAGGGGGGCACGCUGCGAGAUGCACAGGAAACCAGGGAUGCUGCCGUGGGGCUGUUACUGGACCCCAGCGAGUCAGCAGCUCCCCUCCAGCACACAUUACAAACCGCCACCGAGGAAGAGUGACAGGAAGCGACAACUCUCCACUUGCCGCUCUUUCGGCCAAAAGCAGGUCAUCUGCUCAAUUACAAUUCCAUCUCCUAACAGACAGAGGAAGAACAUACUGCUGCCGCGAGUUUGGAGUUCACCAGUGGGAAAUCAGAGACCCCAGGGAGAAAGAGCUCGGAAUCUACAGAGUAUAUAGUAACUAAGGCAGGAAUUCAAUCAUCCGACAAAGAGCGACUGAGUGUCUACCACGCGCCAGCCGCCGCCGCAGGUGCCCGGUGCCCGGUGCCCGAGAUACCGGCGCUGAGUGUGGCGUUCACAGCAUCCCAGCGAGCGGACUGCACAAUUCAGAGUAAAGUGAGAUCUGAUGUCUGCAUUUUAAGGAAGAAUAGCCGGGGAGCAGAGCCAAAGACCGAAAGGGAGGGAAUACUAGUAACCCAUUCCAGCGGCGAGCGAGGCGAAGACGUCAGAGAGGCCCAAAUGCACUGAGGAAAGAAGGUGCCCAGCCCAGGCAUGUGUGAUCCCGGAGGCCAGCGCCCAUGAGCAGACAGGGCUCACGCGGCUGCAUCCUCCAUGGUUCUGGGGUUCCCACCCCAGCUCCACCCUCUGCCACCGCAUCUCCCUGGUCGUCUUGUUCCUUACCUGUGCCAUGCAGAUGGCCCUAAGAUCUACCUUAGCGCAAGGGGCAAUACGUGUUAGCCACUGUUCUUUUUAAUGAGCUGCAGAAAUAUUACCACGGAACAUCAGACACUGCAGAGGCAAUUUGCACAUUGAUUGAAGAGUUUUUGAACAAUUGAAACUAUCCCGAACUAGAACUAACUCCUUUGUAAAGAGUGAGGUCUUUCUCCCAGGAAGGGUUUGUGCAGACAUAGGCUUACCAUCUGUCUAAGAAAUUUCAGAGGUUCCUGCCGUGGGAGAGAGGGUAUGAAAGGUGCAUGUCCAGUGCCUUCCCAAUAGGUCUGUUUCUCUGAAAUGUCCUCAUUGCCCAGAUUUAAUAUACCAUGCUCAAAGGAAGAAGACAGGAACACGAGGACAGAGAAAACGCAAAGACAUAACAUGAAGUUAGCAGAAACAUUUAAAGAUAAAUUGUCCUAAGUUAUUAAGCGCUGAGAGAAUAACUGAACACACUGUAUCAAGAAAGUGGGAAGAACAUUUUGGGGGGCUGGUAGAUGGAGAGUGAGAGAGAGAAUUCUCUCAAUUAGACUCCUUGCUGAGUGUAGAGCCUGACAUGGAGCUGGAUCUCACAACCAAGAUCAUGAUCUGAGCUGAAAUCAAGAGUCAGACAACCUCAGUGACCGACUGAGGCACCCAGGUGCCC